UGGUCCACAUCAAUAUCACUAGGUAACAAAUUUUCACUUUUGUCUUGUUCCUUUGUUAAAACCAUAAUUUCCCAUUUCUUCACAACCAAUCAAAAGAGAAAAGAGUGGUCUUAACCUCUAAACUUUUGUUUUGUGGUCAGGACAAUGAAAUUGCAAAUUAACCAGUUUUCGCUUUCACUGAGUGGUCACUACUAAUUUCUGGAAAAGUUAAGUCCAUUUGUCAGAGUUGUGGUCAUCAUAUUUUCUUUUUGUGAUCAUGUCAAAA